rnacentral:lncRNA from 1 species
GCGUAACCCGCUCCGAAAAUCCAUUAAGGGUCCAUCACGUGCAAGUCAUGUGCGUCGCUUUUUCUUUUUCUUUUUUUUUGGGGAUCCGAGCUAUCGGAUUCGGGUUAACGGUUUGUGACUUGCCCGUUAAUCCUUUCUUCAACCUCCAGAUGGUUUCGGGAGGACGUGCCGCCCUUCGUGGCGGCAGCGGCGGGCUGGGCGGAGGUCGCGGCCGCAACUCUGCGGUGACAGGGCAACCGAUCUCGGGUUUUCCGGCGACGGUCUCCUCUGCGGGCCCGAUGCAGGCGGCCGGUGGCAGACACGGGCGGUUCGGGUUGUAGCGGUGGAGGGAGGCGGUGGGGCGGCGACGGAGAGGGACAACAGUGUCCCACUUCCGGAUCUAGCCACGAAUGGUGGCCACAGGGGUCGGGGCCGAAAGCUUUCUCUGUCAGGAUGGUUUGCCGCGCGGUUGACUCCAGGACGACGGGCUUCCAUGGUGACAGGUGGCCACUGCGCUCGCGGCCACCGCUUCCAUCCCUCGCCGCCGACAACACCCCAGGGGAACAGGGAACCUGCAAAGGGGUUUUUGUCCCCUUUUCCUGGAGAAAACACAAACCGAGAGAGAGGGAGUGUCGAACGUGGACGGGCGGCGAUUUGGGCCUUCACAGACUCGGCGGUGGUGUCGGGAGGGAACUGGUUGUGGUGUGAUAGAAGGAAGAAGAGGCUGGAUCAUGGCUUUGGCAACAGGGAAAAAGCCUGGCUGCUCUGAAAGAGAGCUAGGAGUUGGGACUUCCACUUUUUCAGUUGGUGCUGAGUCAAAUCCAAGGAUAAAAACUUCUUCUUAUUGUUGUGCUCUACCUCUUUCUAUUCUUCCUCCGUAGUCGAAUUUCUUGGUGGAUGUCAGUCAAUUGUGCUUCAAGGGACAUGAGUCAGUCCUUUGGGAUGCACAGUUUGCCUUGGACCAAUGUGUUUACAACCAAGGCAGGCUUGUCCUCUUCUAAGGAAGCUAUCUUAACCUCACAAGUUGAUCAGUAGACCAAUUUGCAACUAAUGCUGAGAGGCUACGAUUGUGAUUGCGCAAGAGAUGGAUUGACAACAAGCUGCAAAUGAGACAAGGAGAUAGCUGUGGGAGAGAAAGAUCCGAUUAGGGGAGAAGACCUUCUAUAGGUUGUCAGAGUAUCUACUUUCUAGGUUAGGUUGGCCAAUGGGUGGUGAAUGUCAAAGAUGUUAGUCAACUUAUGUUAAAGAUCAUCAACCUAAUAUGUUGAGAGGUCGGCCAAGUGAUGAAAGAUGAGACUAGAUUUGAAACUUGGCCAUGUUCUUAGGAGAAACUAGCUUGUCAAUUGGAAUGGUAAGAAUAUGCUGCAGCAACUCUUAGCUAUCAUAAUUUUUGCAAUAAUAUCAGAUGAUGACUAGCCAAUACAGGCCCCAUCAACCUAGCCCUAGACUACCAAGACUUGUGAAAAAGGAGUUAUGUCAGCAAAUGAAAAGAUAUUAUUAUAUCGACAAUCAAGCAAUACCUCAUGGACUUCAAAGUAAACCAUAACAUCACAUUGCAACAAAAGCCUGAUAACAAAACAAACACGAGUUAAAAAAGGGAAGUCAUGCUAGGAAAAAGAUGGUGAUAAAAAAUGGAAAUUAGGUGGUUGAAUGCAUGAUUUACAAAUUUAUUUCACUCCUCAAGCAAAACCAUAAGAUUUAAAUUUCCCUCCACAGCCAAACCACUAAAUUAUUUAUUUCACUCCUCAAGCAAAACCAUAAGUUUUAUAUGACUGACUUUAUCAAUAGAAAAUAUGUUUUCAAAGGGCUGCAGUACAAUUCUCUAAAAAAAAGUGCUCAUUAUUUUUUAACUGAAAAAUACAUUUAUGCUAAUCUUUAUUCCCAGUCCCUAACAUAGAUUUUCAUUUUUUCGAAUUCCAAAGAUGCCUCCACGACCCCACAGAAACAGUGAUUAGAAUUUCGCAGAUGCCCCCACAACCCCACGGAAAUAGGGAUUAGAAUUCCGAAGAUGCCCCAUGACCCCACGGAAACAGGGACUGAAUGCGGAAUGGAAAUC